UCCCUUCUAGCUCAGUUGGUAAAGAAUCUGCCUGCAAUGCAGGACACCUGGGUUCGAUUCAUGGGUUGGGAA
rnacentral:tRNA from 1 species